ACUAAUCAUAACAGAGCAUAGUGUGACUCCCUCCACCUACAAUAUGUUCAGGUGUCACUUCCCCUGAUUUCACUGUUCCGGUACCUGGCUCUGUUCAGAAACCAGUACCAGAGCUGUAAGAUUCUGGAAUAGUCUCAUCCAUGGCAACCACAGUGACAGCUGAGCCACGACAUUACCCUGCUUUGAAUGAUGGGGUGCUGAGGAUUGUCUGGAAUAUCUUACAGAAAAGCACCAAUAUUUGCCGUUUUCCUUGUCUGUGGAUUUACCAAAACAAGAGCACACACACACACACACCCCCCCCCACACACACACACACACACACACACAAACACACACACACACACACACACACACACACACACACACACACACACACACACACACACACACACACACACACACACACACACACACACACACCUUCCUUCCAGGCGUUUUCAGUACUAUUUGAUGCCUCUUCCUCUUGCUGACCUGGCCUCUCACCUUAUCCUUCUGACUCUAUUGGCUGACUCUUAUUGUGCUCUGCUUGUAUCAUAUCUAGGAACGCUUUACUGACGUUUGACGUGUGUGUGUUCACGUUUGUCCAGACACGCACAUACUGAGCAGCCGUGUCCCAGGACACGGCUGCUGCUGCUAUUGUUGUCAUUUACUAGGGUCCAAGCAAUUUUUAUUUUUGAACGGUUACUUUAAACCAACAAACCAAACUAACUAAACACUGCCAAGGUCCAGAUUGGUCCAUUGAGUAAAGGACACAAGGCCAUGCUGGGCAGACUCGGGCCAAGUUAAUCUCACUCCAAGGUUGAAUAAACAUUUGUGCUGCCAACAUUCAAACUGCUUCUGAUUACCUUAACUGGGGUGCGUUCAGUUGAUCAACAAAGGAACAAGAAGAAAUCGUGAGUUAGUUUCACAUUUAAUGAUAAUCAUUUAAUUUGUUUGACACUAUCAUGUAUCUUUACAUUUUUAUGCAGCACAGUUGCAGUUGUAAAACAAGUCUUGGGGCGAAAGUGGAGGUGAACCAACACAAUCUACACAGAGUAUGCACGUGGCCAGUGUUGUUUACUGACAACACAUUCAGCAUUGACACACGCAGUAUUUAGUUUAGUAGUUCAGUUUUAACGGUUUUAGUUUGUCUUAUGAAAUCAUCAUUACUGUUAUUCAGUACUCAAACAAAAGUGAAGUGUCUUAAAAACUAGACAUCAGUACAAUGUUUGACAUUUGUCAUAAACUGCUGACAGCAGGAACACAUGACUUUUGAUAACACAUUACCACAAACGCAUGAUUCCACCUUUUUCAGCAUUUUUCACGACACCCCCAAACGACAACAGAGCAGUUACAAUUAUUGAAUGAAUUAAUCAUCAAAUGUACAUUGGAAUUACUCCUUUUUUAUUUUUUGGCACAGCAAUACAUUGUCUAUGAGGCUGGAGAUAAAAAGGAAAAAGAGUUAAUGGACACUGAUUUCAUGUGAACUACUGUGUGUGCCUACAAUGAUGAGCUCAGCUUCUGUCAAGGCAGUGAACUCAUGAAUCUUCAGUUGUCUGCUUGCAGAACUAGACAAGUUAGGGAGGCUGAACUGACAGAGCUGGUGAAGUGUCUGCAAUACCUCCAUUUCUAUGGCGCCUCUCUUUUUUUCCUUCAGCUUCUCUUUUAAGCACACAUGAACUGCUUCUUCCAUCUCACAUUACAUUACCUUGCAGAGCUUCUGGAUGACACUCAGGAUAAGCACGAGUGACAAUGGUUUAGCACUGGAGGUAACAUUUUUCCUAUUAAUGUAAGUGGGCAACACAGUGGUCACGUCUACAACAAGAGGAGGAGGGUCACACCCUUAGCUAAGGUUGGUUACAUGUCUUUGGCUUGGAGAGUCUAUGUCCUCACUAAGCAUACAGUACCUGUUGUCGACUGUUGAGACGAAACAUUUAGGAAUGAAAAGUAGUUAGUGGACCUGUCCAGGGUGUACCCCGCUUCUCGCCCAUAGCCAGCUGGGAUAGGCUCCAGCACCCCCGCGACCCCGCAUAUGGGAUUAAGCAGUAUGGAAAAUGGAUGGAUGGAUGAAUGGAAGUAGUUAGUGCUAUGACUGGAGAGUCUUCAACCAUUUAUCCAAGCAACCAUCACAGAUGAGACCAUAGAUAAGGCUGCAAGCUGCAGCCUGACUGACAUAUAUUAGUGCUACAUAAUAGGCUGCGAUUGGACAUAGUCAGUCAAUCUGUGUUACUGUGGCUUUAUGAUCUUUAUAAUUCUGUCGCAGGUGAGGUAACACUAUGACCGUGUAAAGGCAGAUUCAAAGUGAUAUGUGAAAUAAGAAGUUUGUCUUAAAGAACACACAACAAAAGGGUCGUUUUCUAUGUGAACAUGUUUAAAAUACGAGUGAUUACUGUAAAGUGCAGUUUUAAAAUAUUGCAAAUCCGGCGAUAACACACGGUUUUUAGUUUAAUAGUUCAGUUUUAGCUGUUGCAGGUUUUGGGGGAAGGGGUGAUUGUCCUGACAGUUACAGUCACACCACAAAAAUAUUAAGGUUUGAUUGUCAAUUACAAUGAGAUGACAGUAUGUAAGAUUAAAUACAUAUAAAAAGCACUGAACAGCACCAAGCUCAUAAUGGUUAGCACUCACAGCACAAUAUUUUAAUGCAUCUAACACAACAAAGGUUUGAAAAAAAUGCUGAUAAAUGCAUGUGUUGUGUGUGGUACAAGUAGUGCAGGAGAGUUGGCCUGUACUUCUUAUCAUGCAUCUAUUGUACAAGACAAGACAAGACAAGAUAUUUAUUAAUCCCACAAUGGGGAUAUUCCUUUGAUAUUGAUGCAUGGAAGAUAUGGAUUCAAGGUGUAUGUGAUAGAAAAUGAAUACUAGGGGUAGGCGAAUCAAUCCUAAUAUCAAUACCAAUGCUAAUAUUAAUGUCUACUGAUACCCUGACAAAAAUAUCGAUACUUUGGUUGAAUUUUUAUUCCUUCGCACUGCUGCCGUUUUUUCAAAGACACGACCUACUGUAACUAGCUUGUCUGUCUGUGUGUAAGUGGCGUGCCUGCACCUGUAUGCCAGAGCGAGGCAGAGACACACCAGCCUCCUUCCAUCCCCCACCUCUGAGAUCUCAUGUGACCCACCGACUCGGGCCACCAAACAAACAAGUGUUGGGGAUAUGCGAGGAUCACAAAUUAUAAUAAUUGGAUUUAUAGCUCCUGAGUGGAGAUACCACUUAUGUUUAUAAUUUAGAUUGACAAAAGUUGUUAUAUAUAUAAUAUAUAUAAUAAUCACAGACAAUGACCAAUUAAAUUCCGCUUUAUUAAACAACUAAUAUUAACUCCAGUAUCAACAAUAUCUUGAAUAACUCAGCAUAGAUAAAAGGGUGUGUGUUUGUGUGUGAGUGAGUGAGUGUCUGGCGCUCACAGAAAAAGGAAGCGUGUGAAGCAAUGUGAAGUGGAACUACCGUAACUAAGACUUGUAGUUUCACAAACACGUGGGGCUAUAUUCAGCAAUAUAGUCAAGUAAAUGCGGAAGCACGCAGUAAUUGAAUCAUGCGCUUGGCGUGGUCACAGCAGAAACAGAGCAACAGCACAGUACCACAAUAAAGCAAGCUUAAGCUAGCACAAUCAUAGAUUACAGCACUUCAAUAUGCACCCCUUAGAUUCAUGUGACAAUGUCCACGUUGGUUCUGCUGCUGGAGGCUCCAGGCGUGCCGGGGGCAGAAGGCAAGGAGGUGAUGGAGAGAAGAAGGAGAACAAGGGGGUCCGGAGAGAACAAGGGGAAGAGAGAGCAAGAGAAGAAAGAAAGGGGGCACAUCCCAGUUACCUAAAUGCAAGGUUGGUACACAAACAUCUGUCCAGCUCAGGAGUGAAGGUGAUGGUGAGCACAGCCACAGCUUCCAUCUGGUAGACGACUGCUUCCGCUCAGUCUUCCAAGUAGUGAUAAGAACAAAGAUCACCACAUCUCCCUGGUCACCUGUCUACAACUAUACCUGUCCUGCUGCAGUAACAAAUCUGCAACAUAACGAGUUUACCCCCUUCCCAGGACAUGAUCUGUUUAUCCUACUUCCAUCAAGCAUUUCAUCUGCAAGGCCCUGCAAAAGCUUCUGUCCUCAAACCCCCAGACUUCUGAAUUAACCCAGUAACCUAUACAUCACACAUUGGAGUGUGAAGAUAACAGUUAGGUCUAGCUUUGGGGUAGUGGUGCAUUUUGUGGUUGACAAUAAAAUUGGCUUUAACUAUUACGUAUGUCACUGAACUCUGUUUUUCUGAGGGGAAAACACUUUUAUUUAGGAAAUCAUAGUAUUGAUUUUUUUUGUUUUUCUCUUUCUAGUAUAAAGGUGAA